rfam:Spraguea lophii small subunit ribosomal RNA gene, complete sequence.
CACCAGGUUGAUUCUGCCUGACGUGGAUGCUAGUCUCAUAGAUUUAGCCAUGCAUGUGUAAGCGAAGCGAUUAGUGAAGCGGCGGAAGGCUCAGUAACGGGCGAGUAUUUUAAUCUCUAGAACCGGACAACCUCAGGAAACAGAGGGGAAAACGGAGUAAGAGCAUGUGUUGUUAGCAUGUGAUGAGAACAACAGUGCAGGAGAGUAAGAAGCCAUCCCAUCAGUUAGUAAGUAGGGUAAGGGCCUAUUUAGACGUAGACGGGUACGGGGGAUUAGGGUUUGAUUCCGGAGAGGGAGCCUGAGAGACGGCUACCAGGUCCAAGGACAGCAGCAGGCGCGAAAAUUACCGAAGCCUCCAAGAGGGCGGUAGUGAAGAGACGUGAAAACAAGUGUGUGUAAAAACCACAUGAGUAACUGUGGAGGGUCAAGGCUGGUGCCAGCAUCCGCGGUAAUACCAGCUCCAGGAGUGUCUAUGAUGAUUGCUGCGAUUAAAAGGUCCGUAGUCGAAGAACAGUACUUGUUUGUAAUGUGGCUUAUCGAGAGCCGAAUAGAACGAGAAGAGUUCAGAGUAAGGAGYGAAGGAGGGCUAGAUUAUUGAGCAGCGAGAGGUGAAAUUUGAUGACCUGCUUUAGGAGUAACAGAGGCGAAAGCGCUAGUCAAGAACGAAUCCGAUGAUCAAGGACGUAGGCUGGAGGAUCGAAGACGAUUAGAGAGACCGUAGUAGUUCCAGCAGUAAACGAUGCCUACGCUGUUGUGGUUAUGAGCACGGCAGAAGAGAAAUCUAGUAGGGCUUUGGGGAGAGUACGCGCGCAAGCGAUAAAUUUAAAGGAAAUUGACGGAAGAACACCACAAGGAGUGGAGUGUGCGGCUUAAUUUGACUCAACGCGGGACAGCUUACCAUACCCGAUGGCCGUGUGAGCGUAGUACGCGAUAGGUCAGAGAGUGGUGCAUGGCCGUUAACGACGAGUGGGGUGACCUUUGGGUUAAGUCCGCCGAAGUAGUGAGAUCCCUAGGAUACGAAAGUUAUCGACAGGUGUUAAAAACACAGGAAGGAAGGGGCAAGAACAGGGUCAGUGAUGCCCUUAGAUGGUAUGGGCUGCACGCGCACUACAGUGGUCACAGCAGAAACGGAUAGAAGUAAAUGUGAUCGAGAGGGAAUGAGCACUGUAAUGUGCACAGGAACGAGGAAUUGCUAGUAAUCGUUAUCUCAUUAAGAAGCGAUGAAUGUGUCCCUGUUCUUUGUACACACCGCCCGUCGUUAUCGAAGAUGGAACCAGGUGCGAACAAGUGAAAGCGAGUGAGUGCAGGGUUCYAGAUCUGAUACAAGUCGUAACAAGGCAGCUGUAGGAGAACCAUUAGCAGGAAGCUUG